rnacentral:lncRNA from 1 species
CUGUGAGCUGUGGUAGGUCGCAGACAUGGCUCUGAUCCCCCAUUGCUGUGGCUGUGGUGUAGGGCAGCAGCUGUAGCUCCGAUUUGACCCCUAGCCUGGGAACUUCCAUAUGCCUCGGGUGCGGCCCUAAAGAGUCAAAACAACAACAACAACAAAAACCCCAAACAACAACCAAAAAAACUCUUUCCCAAUAUUAUCACAAAUGAGAUAAGUCAAAUCUGUAUUAUGAGCCAUAGUAGGUGCUUAGUAAAUUAAACAGUGAUUGUAAUUAUUAAGUGCAUUAAGAACAAAUCUUGGCCUUCUGUAGAAAUAGCAGCAGAGGGAUUGAAAGAUGUCUUGGGGCUUAUUUGCAUGAAAUAUCUUAAUCUAGCAAAGCUUGUUUUUGGUUUCCAUUGAUUGAAAACGCAAACAAACCCCAACUGAAGCACUUCUUACGGAGGAAUGAAUGGAUUUCCAAUCUGUGUUUUCUUGUUUACAGUGGAAAAUAUGCAAUCCAAGGAAAACACAGGUGGUUAACUGUUCAGUGCCUUCUAUUUUUAUCAUAUGCAGAGGGCUCUAAGCAUACAAAUGCAAAUAUUUUAAGUAACAAAAAAUGAAGACUAACUUCUCAAGGUUAAAUGGCUUCAGGUUUCCUAUAGCAAAUUGAGGUCUUUCUCCUUCAGCCAUUUCUUGAAAAAGAAUUCCAGAUCCCCAUACAGACUGAAUUCCAAAACCACUCACCACAGCAAAAAGCUCGCAAUUGGCAUUUUUAAAGAAACAUUUCUUUUCGCUGGGGAUCCUUUUGUUUUGUUUUUGCAUCCUUUUUGUUUUGCAAAAUGAGUGUCUUCGAUGGGAGAGGAAAGCCACCUCCGUGGGUUGCGUGUUUGUGAAACGAAGAUGGGAACGGAGACUCGGCAGGUCCCGGGAGAAGCUGACGCGCCCCCGCGUCCCCAGCACCCCCGGCCGGGCUUGUGCGGACGUGUCUCGGGCGUGACCUCUGAGCAGCUGCGCCACCGGCUCAGCCUCGCGGCGGGAGAAACCCGAGCUCCCAACAAAACAGUUCCAUCUUUGGCAAGUCCUCUGAUACCAGGUGGUCAGCAGAGGCUCAGAAGCUUUACAUCUUUACAAGAGGAAGUCUCCUUUCUAAUAUCAUCCCCCCCGUCCCCAAACUGAUUCCACUUGGCCUCUACCUGCCUGAGGUACUGGAAUGCAGAGUUGAAAUUGACAAAAAUAAUGCUUCUUUUCCAGGGCCGAAAUUUCCGGGCCCCAUAAUAGUAGGUAACAUUUACAGAGUGCUUAUUCUGAGCUACGCACUUUGAUGCAAUAACUCAUUGGAGCCUCACAACAAUCCUGUGAAUCCUCGGAAGUAGGAAUUCUUAUUAUCCCUUUUUUGCAGGCAAUGAAACAAGCACAGAGAGGUUGGGCAAUGUGCUUGGGGUCACACAGCUAGGAAAUGGUAGGGUUGGGAUUGAAAUUUAGGCAAGUCUUGCUCCAGAGCCUGUGCUUAUAACUGCUUUGCUCACCAGGUGAAAGAUACUGUGUUUUGGAAUUUGUCUCCUAGCACACUGGGUCUUGACAAGGUGGAGAAAGGAGCUCUAGGAAGUUUGGAAAUCAGACGUGGCCAAGUCAGGAUCUUCUGAAAUGUUCCGACGUGGUCAGAAAGAGCUGGGGUCUGUGGGGGUGUGGUGUACAGUGGUCACUAGGAAUUGCGUGCUCUCUGUUUUGGAAGUGUUGGAAGUUUGUUAACGCUCAGCUUGUCAUUCUCAGUCUGGGGUCCCUGGCAGUUUGACUUAUAGGAAAGAGAUAGGACUGGCAGUAAGUAGCAGGAGGUCAGGAUUGUCACCUUGGCCACAAGUGUUGGUCUGAAAAAAAGGAGGGGUGUGAGAGCAGCCCAGCUGGGACCUUACCUGAGAGUCGGGGGAGGGCCUGGUCUCAUCUUCAUGGCCUCAGAAGGUAUGCCAGGCCUCCUCUUCUGAAGCCUGGGUCUGGCAGGCCGAUUCAUUGCUAGACAGAAGUUGUCAAGGAGUCAGGCUUUGCCUCUGCCUUGAGGACUGCCCUGUCCUGGUAUCCAUGUCUGGGGAAUGGAGUGAGCCAUUAGAGGAUGCUUUUGAGGGGAGGGCAGGGAACGAGCCUAGGUUCUAGGAUAGUUUGAGGGCUCAUUUCUCCACACCAU